rnacentral:rRNA from 1 species
AUUGAACGCUGGCGGCAGGCCUAACACAUGCAAGUCGAACGAGUGGCGGACGUGUGAGUAAUGUCUGGGAAACUGCCCGAUGGGGGGGGAUAACUUCUGGAAGCUGUAGCUAAUACCGCAUACCAUCGGAUGUGCCCAGAUGGGAUUCUCGAGUAGGUGGGGUAAAGGCUCACCUAGGCGACGAUCCCUAGCUGGUCUGAGAGGAUGACAAGCCACACUGGAACUGAGACGCGGUCCAGACUCCUACGUGAGGCAGCAGUGGGGAAUAUUGCACAAUGGGGGCAAGCCUGAUGCAGCCAUGCCGCGUGUAUGAAGAAGGCCUUCGGGUUGUAAAGUACUUUCAGCGAGGAGGCGUUACUCGCAGAAGAAGCACCGGCUAACUCCGUGCCAGCAGCCGCGGUAAUAC